rnacentral:rRNA from 1 species
CUUUGGUACUAUUUUGUUGACUUCUAGGACCGAAGUAAUGAUUAAUAGGGAUAGUUGGGGUGGUUAGUAUUUAAUUGUCAGAGGUGAAAUUCUUGGAUUUAUGAAAGACUAACUUCUGCGAAAGCAUUCCACAAGGAUGUUUUCAUUAAUCAAGAACGAAAGUUAGGGGAUCGAAGAUGAUCAGAUACCGUCGUAGUCUUAACCAUAAACUAUGCCGACUAGGGAUCGGUGGAUGUUAUUUUUUCAUGACUCCAUCGGCACCUUACUGAGAAAUCACAAGUCUUUGGGUUCUGGGGGGAGUAUGGUCGCAAGGCUGAAACUUAAAGGAAUUGACGGAAGGGCACCACCAGGUGUGGAGCCUGCGGCUUAAUUUGACUCAACACGG